AAGUUUGAGAGCAACCAUAUUGGGCAAAAUGUUGUCUCAGUCCCAAUAGUUGAGAGAGGUACACAUGACUUUCCACUCUCUGAUUCCCUGAUUGGAUGCCUACCCUUUCCCGACAUUGUUUAUGUCCAAAGGUGAUUGGUCGUAUUAUCUAUUGUCUACUGAGCAGUGAAGAACAGUCGAACAAAACUCAUCCACUGAACUGCAGUCAUGAAGUGUGCUGCUAUAGCUUUGCUCCUGUGUGCUCAGCUCAAUCUUCUCCAUGGUGCCUGUUCUUACUUUAACGCGAUUAAACCAGGCAUGACUCAUUGUCAAGACUUUGUGGACAAGACCUGGCAUCCCGUUGGCUCUAAAUGGAGGAACUCUGCAUGUCAGGACUGCACCUGUGAGCGGUGCUGCAAUGCGUAUGUGACGCCCAGGAAAAUACCAGAUGACUGCAUGAUGGAAUUUGACCAGACAGAGUGUAAAUACAAGGUG